rnacentral:rRNA from 1 species
AAGAGAUGGCGACCGGCGCACGGGUGAGUAACACGUAUCCAACCUGCCGAUAACUCCGGAAUAGCCUUUCGAAAGAAAGAUUAAUACCGGAUGGCAUACGAAUAUCGCAUGAUAUUUUUAUUAAAGAAUUUCGGUUAUCGAUGGGGAUGCGUUCCAUUAGUUUGUUGGCGGGGUAACGGCCCACCAAGACUACGAUGGAUAGGGGUUCUGAGAGGAGGGUCCCCCACAUUGGAACUGAGACACGGUCCAA